rnacentral:rRNA from 1 species
AUGGGUUCCAGGGAGGAACCCAGGGCUCGCCUGAGGGAGGAUGUGUGGGACCCUGCGUUGCGGGUCACGGACGAGGAAAACGAGAACUUGAGCUUAGCCUUCCUCCCGGAGGAGAUUGACAAGGCCACGCUCGGUAUGAAAUCUGACACUGCGCCGGGGCCGGAUGGGUGGCCGGUGGCGAUGUUCAAGCGGUUUUGGCAAGUGCUCAAAAACCCCAUUUUUGACGUGUGCAAUGGUUUUAUGCGUGGUACGGUAGACAUUUCCCGCCUGAACUUUGGGGUUCUCUCUUUGAUCCCCAAGGUCCCGGGUGCGGAUCACAUUAGACUUUUUUGA